UACGAGGGGGGCGAGCGUUGUUCGGAAUUAUUGGGCGUAAAGGGUGCGUAGGCGGCCUGACAAGUCUGAUGUGAAAUCCCUAGGCUCAACCCAGGGCCUGCAUCGGAAACUGUCGGGCUUGAGUAUGGGAGAGGUGAGUGGAAUUUCCGGUGUAGCGGUGAAAUGCGUAGAUAUCGGAAGGAACACCUGUGGCGAAAGCGGCUCACUGGACCAUUACUGACGCUGAGGCACGGAAAGCUAGGGAGCAAACAGG
rnacentral:rRNA from 1 species